rnacentral:misc_RNA from 1 species
CAUUAGCCCAUAAGAAAAAAAAUUAUAAAUCCAACAAAAGGUGCAAGGUGGUAAAGGAAAGAAAAGUAAAUUCAUACAAGCAAAGCAAGAACCUGAUUCAAAGUUUUCUACAGAGAGAAAGAAACAAAACAAAGAAAGAGAGAGGUUUUGUUUGAAACAAAGAUAAACAAGAAAAAAAGAAUUAUGUGAUAAAAGAUUUCAAAAGAAAAACUGGGAGCAUCUUCUAUAAGAAAGGAGAGGCAGCAUAAAGACAGACUUCUCUGGCUGCUGCUGCUGCUGCAGCUCCUCCUCCUCCUGCCCUUUCCCUUCUUUUGCUUAAUUCCUUCUCCUUAGGUUUCAUUGCAAAAACUGGGCCUUACAUAAGGUGGAGGCAGUAAUGCUACGAACAUGGGGAAGAAAGGGAGCUGGUUUUCUGCAAUCAAGAAGGUCUUUCUACCCCACUCCAAGGACAAGCUAACCGAUGAAUCAGAUAGGAAAAGCACAAAAGAA